CAGGGAGCAGUCACCUGAAGCAGCGCCUCACACAUUAGACCAUUGCUUGGGGUUCAAGAACCAGCCAUAAUGGGCCACAAACAAAUCUUUAAAGUUUUAUUGACAUUUAUAGUGGUAAUAAAGCUUUUGAGUACACCAGUUACUGCCACAACAACUGGAGUUUCAACAACAUUUGGAAGUUCGACUACUAUUGGGGUGUCAACCACGACUGGAGGUUCAACCAUAACUGGGGAAACUACAAUUGAAGGAUCAGCGAUGACUGAGGUAUCAACAACAACUGGUGGUGCAACAGAAAAUGAUGCAUCAGCAACAACUGGAGUUUCAACAACAACUGUUGGUUCAACAACUGUGAGCACUACAACAUCGAUGAUGACUGCACCUACAAAUACAACCUCAGUGACUCCUACAACCACCACACCUGUAAUCAUGGCUUCAAACACAACUGUGAGCACUACAACACCAAUGAUGACUACAGUUACAAAUGCAAUCACAGCAAAUGUUACAAACACCACACCUGUAACAAAUACAUCUACGGUGCCUACAACAGCUUCAACUACACCUGUAAACACUACAACACCAAUGAUGACUGCAAAUACAAACACAACCACAACGACUCCUACAACCAGCACACCUGUAACAACUACAACAGCUGAGCCAGUAACACGAGUAUUACUGACAUUCACCUCAGAUGAAACAUUCACACAAGACUUGGCUAAUUCUACAUCUACAGCAUUUAUAAAUCGAAGCAGGCUCAUAGAGACAACACUUACACCUUUUUACAAUGCAACAUUUGAUUCAUUCCAGUCAUUGAGAGUGGUUGCAUUCAGAAAUGGAUCCAUUAUCAGUGACAUUGAAAUACGGUUUGCAUCUACAUCAGUGCCUAAUGUAACUGAGAUUGCAAAUGUUUUGAUCAAUGCAGCCUCAAACAUAACAGCCUUCAACAUUACCACAACCUCUGUUGUUGUCCGUGAAAUAGUAGCUUCAACUACAACUGUGAGCACUACAACACCAAUGAUGACUACAGUUACAAACGCAACCACAGCAAAUGUUACAAACACCACACCUAUAGCAAAUACAUCUAUGGUGCCUACAACAGCUUCAACUACACCUGUAAACACUACAACACCAAUGAUAACUACCCCUACAAACACAACCACAAUGACUCCUAUAACCAGCACACCUGUAACAACUACAACAGCUGAGCCAGUAACAGGACUAUUGCUGACAUUCACCUCAAAUGAAACAUUCACACAAGACUUGGAGAAUUCUACAUCUACAGCAUUUAUAAAUCGAAGCAGGCUCAUUGAGACUACACUUACACGUUUUUACAACGCAGCAUUUAAAAUGUUCCGGUCACUGAGAGUGAUUUCAUUCAGACGUGGAUCAAUUAUCAAUGACAUGAGUAUUGGGUUUGCAUCUUCAGCUGUGCCUAAUUUAACUGAGAUUGCAAAUGUUUUGAUCAAUGCAGCCUCAAAUAUAACAGCCUUCAAUGUUACCACAGACUCUGUUGUUGUCCGUGAAAUAGUAGCUUCAACUACAACUGUGAGCACUACAACACCAAUGAUGACUACAGUUACAAACGCAACCACAGCAAAUGUUACAAACACCACACCUAUAGCAAAUACAUCUAUGGUGCCUACAACAGCUUCAACUACACCUGUAAACACUACAACACCAGUGAUAACUACCCCUACAAACACAACCACAAUGACUCCUAUAACCAGCACACCUGUAACAACUACAACAUCUGAGCCAGUAACACGAGUAUUACUGACAUUCACCUCAAAUGAAGCAUUCACACAAGACUUGGCUAAUUCUACAUCUACAGCAUUUAUAAAUCGAAGCAGGCUCAUUGAGACUACACUUACACCAUUUUAUAACAUGGCAUUUAAAUCAUUCCGCUCACUGAGAGUGAUUUCAUUCAGAAGUGGAUCAAUUAUCAAUGAAAUUAACAUUGGAUUUGCAUCUUCAGCAGUCCCUAACAUAACUGACAUUGGAAAUGUUUUGAUCAAUGCAGCCUCAAACAUAACAGUCUUCAACAUUGACACUGCCAGUGUUGUUGUCAAUGGCACAAUGGUGAAUAGUGGAGUGAUCCACAAGAGCAGUCUCCUCACUGCAUCCUGUAUGGUGCUGCUGUCAUGGCUCAUGUCAGGCCACCAAUAACAUGUCCUGAUGCUCUUGUGGAAUUCCUUUUGGAAAUGUCUGCUGUGAUUGGCUAUGAAAAAAGGACGUUGUUCACACUGAAAAUCCAAGAGGACCUUCUGGUAAAGUGCAAAGGAUGGCUUCACAAGAAUUAGAUAUUAAAUUGGGUAAUACACACAACAAUAAUGAAGCAUAUUUGUAAAAGCGCAUCUACUUCAUCAUUGCAUAGUAAGUAGGAGCUGGAAUCCCAUCUAUGAUGGAAAUAACAGGAUCCACUGAAAGGUUAAUGAGUGUAAUGUGUGUCAUUAAUGAGUAAUACCAUAUGAAACUGAGAUAAGAAUUUGUGAUCUGUAAUCUCUGCACUCCUUCUCACUGCACAGCUCCUCCAUCAAAUGGACAGUUUGACUGACUGUGGGAUAAACCUGAAACAUAAGCUAUGUGAAUAACGUCCUGUAUGAUUACCCAAUUAUGUUUCAUAUGUUUAAAUCUAUUUAUAGUGUGUGUGAAUUUGCAUUUAUUUUGUAUCAUUACAAUACAGCAUAGUAAUAAUAAAAAAAUACAAGUAGGUUACGCAAGUUAGGAAUACCCCCCCCCCCCGAAUGUAUAGACUACAUCAAUGCCUUUUUCCUUUUAAAGAAGGUCCAAAAAAAGUCUGUCAUGAUAUACUGAAACUGCUUGCAUUAAACGAAUUGAAGAUCUAUA